UGCAAAGUCCAUGAAAGUGCCACUAGAG
rnacentral:piRNA from 1 species